rnacentral:rRNA from 1 species
GAUGCCUUUAACCGGGUGUCGGGGGCGGACGGCACGUUUACUUUGAACAAAUUUGAGUGCUCAAAGCAGGCCUAUGCCUGAAAAUUCUUGCAUGGAAUAAUGGAAUAGGACUUCGGUUCUAUUUUGUUGGUUUUCGGAUCCGAAGUAAUGGUUAAGAGGGACAGACGGGGGCAUUUGUAUGGCGGUGUUAGAGGUGAAAUUCUUGGAUCGCCGCCAGACAAACUACAGCGAAAGCAUUUGCCAAGGAUGUUUUCAUUGAUCUGGAGCGAAAGUCAGAGGUUCGAAGACGAUCAGAUACCGUCCUA